CUCCUCCUCCACCUCCUCCUCCUUCUGAUCUUCCUCCUCCUCCUUCUCCUCCUCCUCCUUCCAGGCAGACAGAAAGACACUGCAGAGCGCAGAGGACACCCCGGACAGGGCGCUCCCAAGGAGUUUCCUCUGGGAGCCCGACUGUGCCCGAGCUGCCAAGGGCUGGCGCGCUGGCCGCGCUGCGCUCCGGGAGCAGGCUGAGCCGAGCUAGGAGUGAUCAAUACAAGUGGAAAGUACGGCGGCGGCGGCGGCGGCGGCUGCGCUCGGUGCCAGGCGGCAUCUGGGGAAAAUGCUUCAAUGCCGAACCACAAAGCUGGAGCCAGGACACCUGGGUUCUGUUCCACCCACACACCAGGUCACAGCGUUCAUUUUCUAAGUGACCUUGGGAAGGUCUUCUGUAAUGGAUUGCCUUGUGAUUCAGUGGGAGACUCCGAGGUAUCGAAUGGGUUCCGUCAUCUCAUCUGCUCUGCCAAGGUCCUGUAGUCUACCUUCCUUUGAAGGACUACCAUGUGAUACUGCUAUUUAGAAAGGGAGUAAGACGAAUUCCUAUUGAUGCAUGAGUAUCUUUGACUUGUUCCACCAUGACCUCAAGUCCAUUUAUUUGCCUUUAUAUCUGUUUUAUCAUUCCUCCUACUGUGUCAGUAGGGACUAUUUUAAAUUCUGAACAUAAGUUAAUGCUUCCUUCUCAUUUUUUCUAUUAAAAUGCUUUGUUUCACACAUAUCUCUAUAAACACUUUAAAAUUUCUCCUUGUAUUUUUAAGUGUUAAUAAUAAUCAUGUCAUAUUUUCUAUCUUCCCAGAACUGAGAAUUUUCCCAAUUUCAUUUUGUCCCUAAAAGGAGACAUUGAACAACACUGGGGAUCUAAAAUUCACCCUACUGUGGUGGCUUUCAAUUAGAUUGCCACUAAGCUGUUCCCCUGCACUUUGGGGGAUAUUAUUCUCCAUCAAAUUAUGUUCCGAGGAUUGCAUGAACCUUUCUAUGUCUGUAACCCUCUCCCUCUAAUGGAUAUUGGAGCAUAAGCAAGACUGUAAAUCUGUCUAGAGAGCUAAAUUCCAUCUCAUAUAAAUGUCAAUUGUUUCCAUUUCCUGCAUGCAUGAUGGAGAAUGCAGUGAUUGUAAACCAUCCACCCCUUUUCAGGACUUUCUGCACUUGGUAUAUGCUGUGAUUGACACACCCGUGAUAACGAAAUGCAAGUAAUCCCGCGCUGUCAAGACGCUUGUGAUGACGCUUUCUGGAUAUGGACAACGCUUGGCUUAAGGGGGAGGAAACCUAACCUAGCACUCGGAAGGACAGCCCUGUAUCCUGGUGCUUAGAACGAAGUUUGUGCUUUUCAUUGGUGACAUUCACCUUCAAUGUGACCCCAAGUGUUGUGCUAAAAGUCUGCCUAGAGUUCCUAGUGGCAAGACAACUGUAUUGCAGGGCGUGGAGAAAAUCCACGGCCACAAGCUUCAUCCAGCCAGGCGUUUACAGCGUCAGCAGUGGGUGCGGUGCUAAUGAAUCAGAGAUAUUACAUUUUUGGAGAAAUGAAGGGGAAGUCAACCAAUCUGCACAUGAGUCUAUGCUAAGCGGGGUUCAAGCACCAUCCCUGGUGAGCCACAAAGCUAUGGAAAGUGGCUGGAUUUGUGCACUCAGUGAUAAUAAGCAGUAAUUCUAACAACCUACGAAAUUUACAGUACGUUUGGCUAGGUCAGGAAAAUGUUAACCUCCUCUAGACUGAUACGUUACUAUAAUGAAACGCUGUAUCUAAUUACUUUAAGGAAAUGCAUAUUGAAUACAACUUUAAAUAAUGCAGAAAGCAGGAGUGUGAGCUGAUCGAUUAAGGAAAUUGUGAGAAUGGGGGAUUUAUUGAUCCUGUAUUUCCCUUAGGCACCAUGGCUAAGCUUUCACUAAUCUGUAGAACUAUCUACCAUGAACAACAGCAAGUGACUAUCCAUUUUUUUUUCAGUAUGGUAGAGUAUGUUUCUCUACUGGGGUAAUUUGUACACCAUGCGAUAUUUGGCAUUUUCAUUAUCAAAGCUGGGUGC